UACGUAGGGUGCGAGCGUUAAUCGGAAUUACUGGGCGUAAAGUGUGCGCAGGCGGCCGCGCAAGUCGAGUGUGAAAGCCCCGAGCUUAACUUGGGAAUUGCGCUCGAAACUACGUGGCUGGAGUGUGGCAGAGGAGAGUGGAAUUCCUGGUGUAGCGGUGAAAUGCGUAGAUAUCAGGAGGAACACCGGUGGUGUAGACGGCUCUCUGGACCGUAACUGACGCUGAGACACGAAAGCGUGGGUAGCAAACAGG
rnacentral:rRNA from 1 species